UAACCUGCCCUUAAGUCUGGGAUACCAUUUGGAAACAGAUGCUAAUACCGGAUAACAACAGAUGAUGCCUAUCAACUGUUUAAAAGAUGGUUCUGCUAUCACUCUUGGAUGGACCUGCGGUGCAUUAGCUAGUUGGUAGGGUAACGGCCUACCAAGGCGAUGAUGCAUAGCCGAGUUGAGAGACUGAUCGGCCACAUUGGGACUGAGACACGGCCCAAACUCCUACGGGAGGCAGCAGGC
rnacentral:rRNA from 1 species